rnacentral:rRNA from 1 species
AUUGAACGCUGGCGGCAUGCUUUACACAUGCAAGUCGAACGGUAACAGGCCGCAAGGUGCUGACGAGUGGCGAACGGGUGAGUAAUGCAUCGGAACGUGCCCAGUCGUGGGGGAUAACUGCUCGAAAGAGCAGCUAAUACCGCAUACGAUCUAUGGAUGAAAGCGGGGGACCGUAAGGCCUCGCGCGAUUGGAGCGGCCGAUGUCAGAUUAGGUAGUUGGUGGGGUAAAGGCUCACCAAGCCAACGAUCUGUAGCUGGUCUGAGAGGACGACCAGCCACACUGGAACUGAGACACGGCCCAGACUCCUACGGGAUGCAGCAGUGGGGAAUUUUGGACAAUGGGGGCAACCCUGAUCCAGCAAUGCCGCGUGCAGGAAGAAGGCCUUCGGGUUGUAAACUGCUUUUGUACGGAACGAAACGGUCUGGGUUAAUACCCUGGGCUAAUGACGGUACCGUAAGAAUAAGCACCGGCUAACUACGUGCCAGCAGCCGCCGUAACAC